AACGAACGCUGGCGGCAGGCCUAACACAUGCAAGUCGAACGGUCAUAGCAAUAUGAUAGUGGCGCACGGGUGAGUAACGCGUGGGAAUAUACCCUUUAGUAUGGAAUAACCUCGGGAAACUGGGAUUAAUACCAUAUACGCCCUUCGGGGGAAAGAUUUAUCGCUAAAGGAUUAGCCCGCGUGAGAUUAGGUAGUUGGUGGGGUAAUGGCCUACCAAGCCUACGAUCUCUAGCUGGUCUGAGAGGAUGAUCAGCCACACUGGGACUGAGACACGGCCCAGACUCCUACGGGAGGCAGCAGUGGGGAAUAUUGCACAAUGGGCGCAAGCCUGAUGCAGCAACGCCGCGUGCGGGAUGACGGCCUUCGGGUUGUAAACCGCUUUUAGUAGGGAAGAAGCCUUCGGGUGACGGUACCUGCAGAAAAAGGACCGGCUAACUACGUGCCAGCAGCCGCUGUAA
rnacentral:rRNA from 1 species